rnacentral:lncRNA from 1 species
GGCUAAUAAAAGUGGCAGAUGGCUCAAGGAACUCCAGUGUGAGAGCGAGAUAAGCACUCCAUGUUUGCAGUAUUCUAUGGGAAAUGCUGAAACAGAGAUUACAAAAAUAAUAGGAGAGGGGAAAGUAGGAGUGUGUGUGAGAGCCAGAGAGAUAAGAUGAAGCGUGUUGCAAGAGAAAACAGCAGGGCUUACGCACAGUGUUUGGGGGAUGACACAAGAGGCCGUGACAAGAUACUUUUUAUCAGCUUGAAGAAGAGGGGGCAUUUAUCUUGACAGACUAAUUACCCGCUUUGAGUUAGAUAUUGUUCCAUCUAUCCGUGUACCCAAUGUGGCUAUAGUAAUGACAGGUUUUUUAAACAAACAAACCAAAGCUUCUAGGUCCAAAUAAAUGCUG